GUCUAUGGCCAUACUGCCUUGAACAUGCUCGAUCCUGGCUGAUCGCAGAAGCUAAGCAGGGUCAGGUCUGGUUAGUACUUGGAUGGGAGACCACCUAGGAAGACCUGGUACUGAAGGCA
rnacentral:rRNA from 1 species